GUAAUGAUGAGUAGUCGUGAUUCUUGGGUACCGAUUGCUGCGGGUUUGGUGCUCGGGGCCAGUGUCCUGGCAGUGAUAUAUAAACUAUUCCUGACGGGUCAUUCCAACUAUGCUAAGGGAAGUAAUCAAAACAUCGGAGCUAUACGAUACGUUUGUCGUUGUAAAAAAGACGGAGAGAAUUUAUGCCAACUGCAUGGAAAAACGUAGAAAAAGAAGAAUGAAGUUCCUACUUGUCUCAAUUCUGUCAUAUAAAAAUGUCAAUAAACGUCGAGAUUCUAUUAUACAAUUUGAAAUGACAAAAUUUACAAAAAUGUUUAUUAUUUCCGAGUCAUCAACGUUUUCCUUAAUUUUUUUCAAUAAAGGCACCUAAACCGGCUAAUAGAAAAUGUGCGACUGUGCUGAAGAACAAGAGAGGCAAGAGAGAGAGCGUACAAGAGAGAGCACAGUACCAGUUGUUUCAUCACAAUCUUCGAGUUGGUGGAUUUCACAGUGGUGGAGUAGUGGCGGAUCAGGUCAGGGCGAUGAUUCAACGGUGAAGGUGUGGUUUCCUAUUAUCGGCAGUACAGCCGCACUUAUGGGCUUGAUGGCCCUAAUUUAUAAGAAUUUCAAUAAAUUAAAGACUUUAGUGUGGAAAACCAAACAAACUUGCGAAACUAAGGUUAAGCACAAAUCAUCGUGUGAAAAAAUCAAAAUAUGCGUUUGUAAGGAUUGAUUUAGAAAUUGACAAAACUUCCUCUAUUUCUAAUCUUA